rnacentral:tRNA from 1 species
ACAGUGGUGGUUCAAUGGUAGAGUUCUUGCGUUACAAGCAGGAGCAAACCCAGGCUCAAUUCCUGGCCAAUACG